GUAAGCUGCUGGGACUGAUGGGUGUCAGGGUCAGUCCAGGUAAAAGCAAAGAGGCUGGGACAAGGGGUGCAGGGGAAUAGUGAAAAAAAAUCUUUAAGAUCAAGAAUGGAAUAUUAAGUGGUGGAAGAAGGUAUUGAGGACAAAAGAGUGUAUGAGUUGGGCAAAACAGGGUGGAUGAGCAAAACAAUUUGUUUGAUAAGGCAUAGAUCCUGAACUAACCUGUAAGACUUGUCCAGUUUUGGACUAAAGCCUAUUGUGGGAUGCCAUACUGGCAUUGAGUGGGAUAAGGGUGAUUAGGUUUUAAUGGGAUAGUAAUGGGCAUGUGAUCAGUGCCAGGGAGGGAGUAGAGGUGUCCUAUAUUUUUGGGUUAAGGUGGGGAGAUGCAAGAAGAAGAUGUGAAGGAGGCUUUGGGUUGGGAGGAAGGGUGGCAAUGAGAUGUGGCUGUAGUCCAGUAAUAGGUUAGCGAAUAAUUUUGUUAAAAUGUCUCAACCCAAUAAGGGAACAUGGCAGGUGGGGAUAACUAAAAAGGAGUGCAUAAAAGAAUGUUGUCUAAGUUGGCACCAAAUUUGGGGAGUUUUAAGAGGUUUAGAAGCCUGGCCAUCAACACCCACAAUAGUAAUGGGGUCAAGGGAAACAGGCCCUUGAAAAGAAUGUAACGUGGAGUGUGUAGCCCCCGUGUCAAUUAAAAAGGAGAUGGACUUACCCUCCACUGUGAGUUACCUGAAGCUUGGCGUCCAUGAUGGUCCAGGGAGCUUCCCAGGCAAUCGGGCAAUGUCAGUCUUUAGCCACUGAGCUGAGCAGAUAUAAGAAGGAGUCAGAGAGCCUUGGGCCAGAACUUUAGGGGCUCUGGGAGUGGAUACUGGGCGAGCUGUGCAGUCUGAUUUCCAGUGGGUCCCUGCACAGAUGGGACACAGCUGAGGGAUCGCAGGCUGUGGGCAUUCCUUGGCCCAGUGGCUAGAUUUCUGGCACUUGAAGCAAGAUCCUGAGAUUGAAGGCCAUCUGGACAUUUAUGUGUAGGUCACAGGGGUUACAAUGGCUGAGCUUUGGCUCAGAGACCUGACAAAGCCCAGAAGCUAAACAGGGUUUGGCCUGCCUGGGGCUUGGAUGGGGCACCGCCUGGGGAUACUGGGCCCAGGACCUCCCAGUGGGUUUCCGUCCCAGCAGCCCGGGCGCCACAGCAGUCUGACAGCGCCCCAUCCCAGAAGCUCACCUGCACCCCUGCUGUGGAAGAAAACCUACCUAUAGGGGUACUCCCUGGCAGCCCAUGAAGCCAUAGUAGCCUGAAAGUGCUCAAGCCCAGAAAACAAUAGUUACUUCUGUGAGAUGAAUGGAAACUAUGUUCCAAUGGGAUCCAAAAUGUCCCUUCAAAAAUUCUACAAAAAGACUGCUUCCAAUCUGCUUAAUCAGAACAAAGGUUUAACUCCAUGAGAUGCAUCCAAACAUUGCAAAGCAUUUUCACAUAUAGCUUUUUUCUAGUUUUUAUCACGGGAUAUUCAUUUUUUCACUAUAGCCCCAAUUAGCUCCAAAAUGUCCAUUCAUAGAUUUUACAAAAACAGUGUUUCUAACAUGCUGAAUGAAAACAAAGGUUUAACUCUGUGAUAUGAAUCCACACAUUGGAAAGUGUUUUCACAGAUAGUUUGUUUCUAGGUUUUAUCAUGGAAUAUUCAGUUUUUCACUAUAGGUUUCAAUUAGCUCCAAAACAUCCAUUCGUAGAUGCUACAAAAAGAGUGUUUCCAACCUGCUGAAUCAAAACAAAGGUUUAAUUCUGAGAUAAAUCCACACAUCACAAAGCGGUUUCACAGAUACCUUGUUUCUAGUUUCUAUCGUGGAAUGUUUGGUUUUCUUACUAUGGGCCUCAAUGGGCUCUGAAAGUUCCCUUAGAUAUUACAAAAAGAUUGUUUACAACCUGCUGAAUCAAAGCAAUGUUUUAACUCUGUGAGAGAAAUCCAAAUGUCACAAAACAUUGUUAGAGGUAGCUUGCUUCUAGUUUUCAUCACUAGAUAAUCAGUUUCUUAAUAUAGGCCUCAAUGAGCUCAGAAAUGUCCCUUUGUAGAUUCUACAAGAAGACAGUUUCCAACCUGCUUAAUCAGAACAAAGGUUUACCUCUAUGAGAUGAAUCCACACAUUGCAGAGAAUUUUAACAGAUAGCUUGUUUCUGGAGUUUACUGCAGAAUAUUUGGUUUUCCACUAUAGGCUUCAAUGAGCUCAAAAAUCGCCCUUCGUAGAUUCACAAGAAGAGUGUUUCCAACCUGCUGAAUCAAAACAAAGUUUUAACUCUGCGAGAUGAAUCAACAUAUCACAAAGUAUUUUCAAGGAUAUCUUCUUUCUAGGUUUCAUUAUGAGAUAUUCCCUUUUUAACUAUGUGUUUCAAUGGGCUUCAGAAUGUCCCCUUGUAGUUUGUUCAAAAAGAGUGUUUCCAACCUUCUGAAUAAAAAGAAAAGUUUAACUCUGUGAGAUGAAACCACAUUUGAAGAGCAUUUUGACAGAUUGCUUGUUUCUAGGUUGUAUCAUGAGAUAUUUGUUUCUUCACUAUAUUUUCCAAGGGGCUCUGAAAUGUCCCCUUGUAGAUUCUACAAGAAGAGUGCUCCAACCUGCUGAAUCAAAACAUAUGUUUAACUCUGUGAGGUGAAUCCACACAUCACAAAGCAUUUUCACAGAUAGCCUACUUCUAGUUUUUAUUGUGGGAUAUUCAGUUUUUCACUACAGGCCUAAAUGGGCUUUCAAAUAUUCCUUUGUAGAUUCUAUAAAAUGAGUGUCUCCAACCUGUGGUAUCAAAACAAAUGUUUAUCUCCGUGAGAUUAAUUCACACUUCACAAUGCAUUGUUUCUAGCUUUUUGUUGUUGUUGUUGGAUAUUCCUUUUUACACCAUAUGUUUCAAUGGGCUAUGAAAUAUCCAUUCAUAAAGAGUACAAAAAAAGUGUCUCCAACCUGCUGAAUCAAAACAAAGGUUUAACCCUGUAAGAUAAAAUGACACAUUGCAAAGCAUUUUCACAGAUAGCUUGUUUUUAGUUUUUAUCAUGGGACUUUUGGUUUGUUACUCUAGGCUUCCAAGGGCUCAUGUCCCUUCAUAGAUUCUGCAGAGUGUUUUCAAUGUGCUGAAUCAAAACAACAGUUUUAGUCUGUGAGAUGAAUCCAAACAUUGAAAAGCAUUCUGAAAGACACCUUGUUUGCAGUUUUUAUCACAGGAUAUUCAGUUUUCCAAUAUAGGCAGCUCUGAGAUGUCCCAUCUUGGAUUCUACAAUUAGAGUCUGUGCAACUGCUGAAUCAAAAGAAAGGUUUAAUUCUGUGACUUGAAUCCACACAUCACAAAGCAUCAUCACAGAUAGCUUGCUACUAGUUUUUAUUGUAAGAUACUCGGUUUUUCACUAUAGAUUUAAAUGGACUCUGAAACGUGCCUUUGUAGAUUCUACAAAAAGAGCAUUUCUAACCUCCUGAAUCAAAACAACAGUUUAACUCUAUUAGAUGAAUCCACACAUUGCAAAGCAUUUUCACGGAUAGCUUGUUUCUAGUUUGUAUAACGGGAUAUUCAGUUUUUAAAUAUAGGCCUCAAUGGGCUCUUAAAUGUCACUUCGUACAUAUCACAGAGUGCUUCCAACCCUGCUGAAUAAAAAUAAAUGUUUAUCUCUGUGAGCUGAAUCAACACAUUGCAAAACAUUAUCAUGGAUAUCUAGUUUCUAAUUUUUAUCAAGAGAUAUUCAGUUUUUUACUAUAGGCAUCAAUGGUCUCUGAAAUGUCCCUUCAUCGAUUCUACAAAAAAAGUGUUUCCAAACUCCUGAAUCAAAAAAAAAAAGGUUUAACUCUAUGAGAUGAAUCCACACAUUACAAUGCACUUUCACAGAUAGUUUGUUUCUAGUUUUUAUUGUGGGAUAUUGGGUUUUUCACUAUAAGCCUCAAUGGGCCCUGAAAUGUUCACUCGUAGAUUCUAUUAAAAAAAAAAAAAAAAGGGUUUCCAACCUGCUGAAUCCAAUCUAAGGUUUAACUCUGUGAAAUGAAUCCACACAUCACAAAGAAUUUUCAGAUAGCUUGUUUCUAGUUUUUAUUGCAGAAUAUUUAGUUUUUCACUGUAGGCCUCUAUGGGCUCCAAAAUAUCCCUUCGUAGAUUCUACAAAAAAAGUGUUUCCAAACUGCUGAAUCAAAACAAAGUUUUAACUCUAUGACAUGAAUCCACACACUGCAAAGCAUUUUCACAGAUAGUUCGUUUCUAGUUUUUAUCAUGGAAUAUUACGUUUUUCACUAUACGCCUCAAUGGGA
rnacentral:lncRNA from 10 species